UCUCUGGGUUUAUUUUUACUUUCUCGGGUCUUUGUGGCGCAGCUGAGAUUCUCCGUGAAAUCCCCCAUCUAAAGGUAAAAAAGCCGUUUUCAUUUGGUUUAAUUUAUCAGACUGAGGGUCCUGAACAAUCCAGAACCAGGACGGAGGAGAAGUUGUCCAACAGAACCAGAGAGGAGGACAUGAGGGGACAAAGACCAGAACUAUCUGUUGCUGUGAACGAGGUGAAGGUAGAAAGUGUGUGUGAGCUGAUGUGAAUCCAGCAUCAUGGAUCAGGACAGAGAGGAGCCUGGACCUGGACCUGGACCUGAACCAGGACCUGGACCUGGACCUGGACCUGGACCUGGACCUGGACCUGGACCUGGACCCAGCUGUUUGUCCUUUAAGAGCGACCAGUCGAAAGAACCUCCUCUUCAUUUUAAAUCAGAGCCACAGAGAGUGGACCAGCAGAGCUCAGAGCUUCCCAGUGGUCAGUCUGCCC